CUAUCCAGUUGUUACCUAUGGACGAGCUGUUUCCUCUUUUAGUCGAUUCGCUCGAUCUCGCCGGCGAUUCACAGCACCGGGGGAGAGAUUCGUCGGCGCCGGUUGUUUCCUCUCGCCGGGGUCCGCUUCCUCAUGCCGGCGGCUGCUUCCUCGUGCCGGCUGCUACAUCGUGGCAGAGGUUGCUUCCUCGCGGCGGCGUCCGCAGCUACCUCGUGCCGGCGGCGGCCGGUUCACCGUGGCAGCGGCCGAUUUCCAGCUACCUUCUCGCGCCGACAGCUAAUUCCCCGCGUUGUCCGGCUACAUCCCCACGCCUCCUGCUAAAUCAGCCGCGUCUCCGGCUACAUCCACGGGUUUGGAGUAUAAGAUCAAGAUAGUUGAGGUCGAUCUGGCAGACUUUCCGGUUUGGUACAAGGAGAAGGUUUACUCGAGGAACAAGGUGCCUUCUCUGGAGCAUAACAAACAGGAGAAAGAGAGCUUGGAUCUGGUCAAGUACAUUGACAACAAUUUCAAAGGCCCAAGCCAAUGUAGUAACAAAACGGGGGCGGCGCAUGGUUUGCCCAAAAAAGAGAAAGGAAAGAAGCAUCUGGAGUGACCAAAAUCGCGAGACGGGGAGGUCGAGGCCCCGGCGACCGACGUCUCCCUCAGUUCCUCGGUUUGCCGACGUGCUCGUGGUGGAAGCCGAAGUCCACGGAGCAGCGCCGCCAGCCUGAUCAAACUAAUCGACGACGCCGGCGCUCGUACACCGCUCGGAGUCUAGAACCACCUACAGCGCGGCGGCGGCGAAGUGUCCAUUGGCAUCGUGGUGACCUGGUGGUGCUACAUGACCUGGAGAGAUGGCUGCCGGGAUGACUUGUCGCAGGACCUGGAGAGAUGGCUGCCGGGAUGACUUGUUGCUGGUGCGUUGACUGAUGGUUAUGCAAUUUCAGACUUCACCGGUAGCUCAUAGCAAAAUAGUAGGGCCUAGCGACGAGCGGUUACUUUUUCUGUUUGCAGAAUGAAGUCAAUGAUAGACAACUAGAUCUAGUUAAAUUUAGUGCGGCUCAGUUCACAUGGAUGUAGUUAAAUUUAGUGCGGUGCAGUUCAUUUGAUCUCUUUUCUGUUCGCAGAAUGUAAGUCGAUGAUAGAUAACUGGAUGUAGUUAAAUUUAGUGCGGCGCAGUUCCCAUGAGAUGUUGGUUGAAUUUUCACCAUGAUGUAACUGACCGGGCUGUUAGUGCAAUUUUUAUCGCAACAUUGUUUGA